AUUGAACGCUGGCGGCAGGCCUAACACAUGCAAGUCGAACGAGUGGCGGACGGGUGAGUAAUGUCUGGGAAACUGCCCGAUGGAGGGGGAUAACUACUGGAAACGGUAGCUAAUACCGCAUACCAUCGGAUGUGCCCAUAUGGGAUUAGAUAGUAUGUGGGGUAACGGCUCACCUAGGCGACGAUCCCUAGCUGGUCGGAGAGGAUGACCAGCCACAAGGGAACGGAGACACGGUCCAGACACCUACGGGAGGCAGCAGUGGGGAAUAUUGCACAAUGGGCGCAAGCCUGAUGCAGCCAUGCCGCGUGUAUGAAGAAGGCCUUCGGGUUGUAAAGGACUUUCAGCGAGGAGGCGUUACUCGCAGAAGAAGCACCGGCUAACUCCGUGCCAGCAGCCGCGGUAAUUC
rnacentral:rRNA from 1 species